GUACACACCGCCCGUCACACCAUGGGAGUUGGUUCUACCUUAAGUGGCUGCGGCAACCGCAAGGGGCUAGGUCACCACGGUAGGGUCAGCGACUGGGGUGAAGUCGUAACAAGGUWKCCGUAGGUGAACCUGCAGAAGGAUCA
rnacentral:rRNA from 1 species